GGGAUGUUAGCUCAGUCGGUAGAGCAGCGGACUUUUAAUCCGUUGGUCGCAGGUUCGAAUCCUGCACAUCCCACCA
rnacentral:tRNA from 12 species